AGAGUUUGAUCAUGGCUCAGAGCGAACGCUGGCGGCAGGCCUAACACAUGCAAGUCGAACGGACCCUUCGGGGGUUAGUGGCGGACGGGUGAGUAACACGUGGGAACGUGCCUUUAGGUUCGGAAUAGCUCCUGGAAACGGGUGGUAAUGCCGAAUGUGCCCUUCGGGGGAAAGAUUUAUCGCCUUUAGAGCGGCCCGCGUCUGAUUAGCUAGUUGGUGGGGUAAUGGCCCACCAAGGCUACGAUCAGUAGCUGGUCUGAGAGGAUGACCAGCCACAUUGGGACUGAGACACGGCCCAAACUCCUACGGGAGGCAGCAGUGGGGAAUCUUGCGCAAUGGGCGAAAGCCUGACGCAGCCAUGCCGCGUGUAUGAUGAAGGUCUUAGGAUUGUAAAAUACUUUCACCGGUGAGGAUAAUGACUGUAGCCGGAGAAGAAGCCCCGGCUAACUUCGUG
rnacentral:rRNA from 1 species